GAGGGAGGGAGGAAGGAAGAGCAACGGGGCCGGAGCGAGGGAGGAGAGGGAAGCGGGGAGGGUGGGGAAGGGAGGAGGGACGCAGGGACCAGCCACCAGCCCGGGAAGCCUCUGGCAGAAGCUUCCACCUCCACCUCCUUAUAUAUUCGAAAAAUAACAGCGGCCGCGCCGCCGAACGCCACCAAUGGGGGUGCGGGUUAGAAGAGAGGCGGGACCGAGGGCGGAGCCCGUGUGGUGGAAGGCGCGGAGGCUGGACCAGCCGGGCCUCGCCCAGUUCCAGGCUUUGGGUGGGGUGGAGGAAUUAGGGUUUCUCUUACACCCCUCGCACUCCCUCCCAGCUACGGUUCGAGGAGCCUGGCUUCCCAAAUUCCGCUUCUCAGUAUGUGGUUUGGAGCUACACCCCCCCGCCCCCAGCGAAGAGGGUGUGUAGAGGGCCUCCAGCGAAGAGGGCCUCAGAGGAUGCAACAACCCCCCAGGGUGGCCUCAGAGGGACCCCCGCCGUUUAACAUCACUCACAAGCACCGGUUGGCAUCUUGAGAGCCUCCAUUCCCGGAGUCUGCAGAAUACAGCUGUGCUGUGCGGUCUGUUUUCUCCAUUCCACUUUACAGACGGGGACAAUGAGGCGUAGAGAAGUUCAUUAACUCGUUCAAGGUCACAUGGUUGUGCAGAUGGUGGAGUUGAGAUUCACCCCAGGGAGCCAUCUUUCCUGGACCGUGGUGGGAAGGCUGAACCCAAAAGCGAGUGGGUGUAACCGCAUUUAAAAAAGGACUUCCCUGGUGAUGCAGUGGUU